UACGAAGGGGGCUAGCGUUGUUCGGAAUCACUGGGCGUAAAGGGUUCGUAGGCGGGCCAUUAAGUCAGUGGUGAAAGCUCCGAGCUUAACUCGGAAACUGCCAUUGAUACUAUUGGUCUUGAAUUCGGUCGAGGUUGGCGGAAUGUGUCGUGUAGCGGUGAAAUGCUUAGAUAUGACACAGAACACCGAUUGCGAAGGCAGCUAGCUAGACCGACAUUGACGCUGAGGAACGAAAGCGUGGGGAUCAAACAGG
rnacentral:rRNA from 1 species